GAUCGAGUUUGAUCCUGGCUCAGGAUGAACGCUAGCGGCAGGCUUAACACAUGCAAGUCGAGGGGUAUAGUUCUUCGGAGCUAGAGACCGGCGCACGGGUGCGUAACGCGUAUGCAAUCUACCUUUUACGAGAGGGAUAGCCCAGAGAAAUUUGGAUUAAUACCUCAUAGUAUGUGAGAAUCGCAUGGUUUUCACAUUAAAGUCACAACGGUAAACGAUGAGCAUGCGUCCCAUUAGC
rnacentral:rRNA from 1 species